GGGUCCGUGGUCUAGUUGGUUAUGACGCGGCCUUUACAAGGCCGAAGCCAGCGGUUCAAAUCCGCUCGGGCCCA
rnacentral:tRNA from 1 species